rnacentral:rRNA from 1 species
GAUGAACGCUGGCGGCGUGCCUAAUACAUGCAAGUCGAGCGAACGGACGAGAAGCUUGCUUCUCUGAUGUUAGCGGCGGACGGGUGAGUAACACGUGGAUAACCUACCUAUAAGACUGGGAUAACUUCGGGAAACCGGAGCUAAUACCGGAUGAUAUUUUGAACCGCAUGGUUCAAAAGUGAAAGACGGUCUUGCUGUCACUUAUAGAUGGAUCCGCGCUGCAUUAGCUAGUUGGUAAGGUAACGGCUUACCAAGGCAACGAUGCAUAGCCGACCUGAGAGGGUGAUCGGCCACAAUGGAACUGAGACACGGUCCAGACUCCUACGGGAGGCAGCAGUAGGGAAUCUUCCGCAAUGGGCGAAAGCCUGACGGAGCAACGCCGCGUGAGUGAUGAAGGUCUUCGGAUCGUAAAACUCUGUUAUUAGGGAAGAACAUAUGUGUAAGUAACUGGGAACAUCUUGACGGUACCUAAUCAGAAAGCCACGGCUAACUACGU